rnacentral:rRNA from 1 species
GACGAACGCUGGCGGCGUGCUUAACACAUGCAAGUCGAACGGAAAGGCCCCUUUGGGGGUACUCGAGUGGCGAACGGGUGAGUAACACGUGAGUAACCUGCCCUUGACUUCGGGAUAACUUCAGUAAACUGGGGCUAAUACCGGAUAGGAAUCCUUGCUGCAUGGUGGGGGUUGGAAAGCUUCGUCGGUUUUGGAUGGACUCGCGGCUUAUCAGCUUGUUGGUGGGGUAGUGGCUUACCAAGGCUUUGACGGGUAGCCGGCCUGAGAGGGCGACCGGCCACAUUGGGACUGAGAUACGGCCCAGACUCCUACGGGAGGCAGAAGUGGGGAAGAUUGCACAAUGGGCGGAAGCCUGAUGCAGAAACGCCGCGUGCGGGAUGACGGCCUUCGGGUUGUAAACCGCUUUCAGCAGGGGCGAAGCUUGUGGUGACGGUACCUGCAGAAGAAGCACCGGCUAACUACGUG